rnacentral:lncRNA from 1 species
UGAGGCCUGCAGGAACUCUCUCAGACCAGAGAAGGUGCGGUCGACUGAUCUCACAGACAGGGAGGCUGCUGCCAGGCCCCUAACCUGGAUGUGUGUGACGUAGGCCUGCAGUACGAGGCCUGAGCUCCGAGAGACACAGCAGAGAACAUCCAGAGACAGAAUAUUAGUGGUCCCCUCCCAGAUACUCAACAGCUAGAGAGAGAGAAGGUCCUUCAUGUGUAGCCAAGCGGGGGAGGUGACGAUGCAUUCCACAUGGCAACCCCAGGGAUCAUUGGUCACCAACCGACCUCACUCCCGACCCCACCCAUCUACCUCACGCACCGACUGCUCCCCAAACACACACAGGUAUCCCUGUAGCAGAGCGUCCUCCAGGAAUGGGUUCAGGUCUCUCCUGGAAGAACCCUCCUAUCCAGGCCGGGAGAACUCUGGCUGCCCCUCUGCUCCAGUGACAUCUUGGGGUGACCAAGCCAGGCCCCGCUGAACCAUGCUGGCAGAACUGCUGCUUGACAGCGGCGAAACAUUCUAAUACACAGCCGGUAAAAGCGUCUGGUGACCUGCCGGUGCAGCAGUGGGCUCGAAGCCAUGGUCCAGGAGCUCAGACGUCACGUCACUGGCCUGAAUAUGACAAGUAAACUGAUUUUUUUCAAAACCAGCAGCUGCAUUUCUUUAGUUAAAUUUAAAGGCCUACUCCUUGAUUUGAAAAAGAACAAAACGGCAGCCCUUGCACUUGGUUUGCUAUAAAGCUAGGUAGAGAAACG